rnacentral:rRNA from 1 species
UACGUAGGGUGCGAGCGUUGUCCGGAAUUAUUGGGCGUAAAGGGCUCGUAGGCGGUUUGUCGCGUCGGGAGUGAAAAUCCAGGGCUUAACUCUGGACUGGCUUUCGAUACGGGCAGACUAGAGGUAUGCAGGGGAGAACGGAAUUCCUGGUGUAGCGGUGAAAUGCGCAGAUAUCAGGAGGAACACCGGUGGCGAAGGCGGUUCUCUGGGCAUUACCUGACGCUGAGGAGCGAAAGCAUGGGGAGCGAACAGG